rnacentral:ncRNA from 1 species
GAAAAUGCGAUGAAGAGAAGAGUAGAUAAGACCAUUCUAUACAGAGAGCUCCGUCAGCUGAAAAGGAGUAAGAACGAACUUAUUGAAACAAGCCUCUGAGUGUUACAUAGGAACCUGUUUUGGGGGAUUGUGUAACGGGAGCUCCCGUUAUAGAGCUAGGGUAUUAACAUGAAUAUGAAGUACCCGAUAAGGUUAAUAUGGUGACAUAUUAAUAAACUGGGGUGGCAACACGGAUAAUAAUCUCGUCCCUAAG